ensembl:lncRNA
GAGACGGUAUAAUCGGAAGACAGGUUCACGAGUCGAUCUGGAUGCAUUUAAGUGACUUUCGUGGACUGCAAAGACUUUAAGGACACUCUCAUGACUGGCAGUGCAACGAGUUGCAGUUCUCACGGCGCUAGCCUGGAGUUAGCCUGACGUUACCUUGAAGUGAGCUUGGCAUGAACCUGGCGUGUGAAGAUGAAAUCGCUCCAAAGACUGUCAUAAAUAAACGCCCGUUCAAAAGAACUACCUGCGUCUGUCGUGAAGAGAGUUACAACAAGUUUCCCAGAGACUAUGGGUUGAGGAGGAAUUGGAAGUUUGUCGGCUUAGACCUGGUGUCAUUCCAUCAGUGUUAAACUUCCCGGCUCAUCUUGGAAGAGUACGUACCAGAAAGACCACGACCAAGCAGCCUUGAGAUCUUAGACAGCGUCUCCCUGAGGUCCCUCUCUAUCUCCCCACACAUCCACCAACCACUGGAACACAUCUCCAAAGUUCUGCUGGACCAGCUCAGCUUCCCCUCAGAAGAAGUUCUGCCAGAUGAAGGAGCCUUUUGAGAGGCAGCUGGCAUCGUGAUUGGACUGUACUUUGGUCUGUUCCAAUCCAGCUUCGGCUCCAGAGACGGCAGGCAGGACGAGUCAACGGAGGCCGGGUGGACGAAGGCAUGCAGCUGAGUACAAUCCAGAAAACAACAGAGGAGGAGUGCAGCAGCCCAGAGCCAGAACAAACAGAGUAGCAUGGUAUGUCUCUUAGAAAACAUCAUAGUAUAGCCUUUGGUAUGAAAAAACACCAUCAUAUGCAUCGUAUAUUGUACAAAUAACAAGUCAAAGGAAAGAGACAUACAUUGUAGAAUUGUACUAAUUGUGGGCUGACUGAUUUUCUGAUUAUCAGUAUUUUAUUUUUUACUGAUUUACGGUAAUAAAUACAUUUAAAAAUGGCGCUACUUUGGCUCUGAACCUUUAUCUACCUGUGGUCGCUGUG